rnacentral:lncRNA from 1 species
AGGAAUUGUUCUCAUUCCGGAGUUAAGGCAACCACCUUUUUUCUCCAUUAGAAAAAUCUUUCAAAUAUUUUUUGUUGCAAAAAAAUUCUCUAUGUCCAAUAGAACCACAUACAAAACAAAACUUAUCUAAUUUCUCGUAUUUGAAUACCAGCCAUAUAUUUUUGCACAUAUCACCUUCAAGUAUAAGAUCUUGUUUGAGUGGUUGUUCAAUUUCAAUUUCCACUCUGAUUUUCACAUAUUUUCUCCACGGCCCAUAGUUGUUCUCCUCAUCAAAGAUGACCAUUCAACAAAUAUGACUUCCAACUAAAGCUCCUAUAGUUGUAUCCAUGAAACCGAAUGGAAGUUGGUGAUCUUGAACCCAAAUAUCUAUUGUGUUCAUUGGGAUAGCCAUAUGGUCUUCACCAUCAACAACCUUCUUCAACAUACAUAUGUUCGUAAUUUAUACGUAUUGACGUAAUUAAAAUAACCUGCCCAUUAUUUAUUUUUUUGAAGGAAAUAGUGUGCCCAUUUGAAUGCUAGUUUUCUAUUAAAAUAAUUAAAAGGUGUGAUAAUUCUUAAAUAGUUAGUAUUUUUAUAGUCAUUUUUAAGUAGUUUUAAGUUAAGUUGAAUUAAUUCAGAGUACUUUUAAAGUCAAACCCAACAAAGUUGAGAAUUUUAAAAAUAUUCAGUUGUAUUGGUUAUUUUGUUUCUAUUUGUCUCUAACCAAACAAAUUGUUGGAUUUUGUGUUCUGUUAAUUUUUAGAUUAAUAAAUUGAGCUGUUGGAGUGAAGUUACCCAUGAAAAAUCAAAGAUGAAUGUUCAACACACAAGCCAAAGCAGGGCUGAACGUGUUUCUAUAAGAAAAGUGCAGAACAAAUUUCUCUACAACUCUUUUGGUAAAUUCAACCAGCAUGAUGUUGUCCCCACAUGUUAAAAUACAACGUAGCACCACAUGAAAGGUUAUAAUGCAUCUUAUUUUAUUCAUGUGGUCCCACCACAACAAAUCACCUUGAGAGAAGAGGGAUUACGAGAAACAUUACGGUUGCAGUUUUUAGGAGACUAAUUGGAGGGUGAUUCAACUGGCUUUGAUCAUCAUUCAAUUGCAAUUAUAUGUGUAAUUCUCAAUUCUCUUUUAGCUUUUGACAAACAUCAUGAGUAGCUAAUUUUCGUGUUGUUAGGGAUGAGAUUAUCUAGAUGACAACUUUUGUUCUAUGAUUUUCUUUUGAUUAUUGAAGAAGUUUAUUGAAUCAUUUUUCUUAUCUCUGUUCUUAAUGUUUUUAUUGCUUGGCC